rnacentral:rRNA from 1 species
CUCUAUGUCCAUGGUACCCUGAACAUGCCUGAUCCCAUCUGAUCUUGGAAGCUAAGCAGGAUUGGGCCUGGUUAGUACUUGGAUGGGAGACCACCUAGGAAGACCAGGUGCUGUAGGCA